rnacentral:lncRNA from 1 species
GACGGAAAGGUCCUUGGUAUGCCACCGUGCGACUUUCAGUUACGAAUGUAUUGAUCAUAUGUGAUUCUCAUUUUAUUAACGUGGACAAUGAUUGCAUGUUCCCACACUGAGUGUACCCUGUAUGCUCAUCCCAUAUUUAACAUUUUCAGGUUUUAAAGACCGGAGGCGCGUGGAAGGUCGAAUGGCGAAUCAAAUAUUUUGAGUUUAGCGUUACUUAAAAAUGUUAUUUUGAGUAAAG